AUUAGACGAAUCAUCUGGAAAGAUGAAUCAAAGAAGGUAAUAAUCCUGUAGUCGAAAAUGUUGUCUCUCUUGAGUGGAUCCUGAGUACGACGGAGCACGUGAAAUUCCGUCGGAAUCUGGGAGGACCAUCUCCUAAGGCUAAAUACUCUCUAGUGACCGAUAGUGAACCAGUACCGUGAGGGAAAGGUGAAAAGCACCCCGGAAGGGGAGUGAAAUAGAACCUGAAACCGUGUGCUUACAAGUAGUCAGAGCCCGUUAAUGGGUGAUGGCGUGCCUUUUGUAGAAUGAACCGGCGAGUUACGAUUUGAUGCAAGGUUAAGCAGUAAAUGUGGAGCCGUAGCGAAAGCGAGUCUGAAUAGGGCGUUUAGUAUUUGGUCGUAGACCCGAAACCAGGUGAUCUACCCUUGGUCAGGUUGAAGUUCAGGUAACACUGAAUGGAGGACCGAACCGACUUACGUUGAAAAGUGAGCGGAUGAACUGAGGGUAGCGGAGAAAUUCCAAUCGAACCUGGAGAUAGCUGGUUCUCUCCGAAAUAGCUUUAGGGCUAGCCUCAAGUGAUGAUUAUUGGAGGUAGAGCACUGUUUGGACGAGGGGCCCCUCUCGGGUUACCGAAUUCAGACAAACUCCGAAUGCCAAUUAAUUUAACUUGGGAGUCAGAACAUGGGUGAUAAGGUCCGUGUUCGAAAGGGAAACAGCCCAGACCACCAGCUAAGGUCCCAAAAUAUAUGUUAAGUGGAAAAGGAUGUGGCGUUGCCCAGACAACUAGGAUGUUGGCUUAGAAGCAGCCAUCAUUUAAAGAGUGCGUAAUAGCUCACUAGUCGAGUGACACUGCGCCGAAAAUGUACCGGGGCUAAACAUAUUACCGAAGCUGUGGAUUGUCCUUUGGACAAUGGUAGGAGAGCGUUCUAAGGGCGUUGAAGCAUGAUCGUAAGGACAUGUGGAGCGCUUAGAAGUGAGAAUGCCGGUGUGAGUAGCGAAAGACGGGUGAGAAUCCCGUCCACCGAUUGACUAAGGUUUCCAGAGGAAGGCUCGUCCGCUCUGGGUUAGUCGGGUCCUAAGCUGAGGCCGACAGGCGUAGGCGAUGGAUAACAGGUUGAUAUUCCUGUACCACCUAUAAUCGUUUUAAUCGAUGGGGGGACGCAGUAGGAUAGGCGAAGCGUGCGAUUGGAUUGCACGUCUAAGCAGUAAGGC
rnacentral:rRNA from 1 species